rnacentral:rRNA from 1 species
GACGAACGCUGGCGGCGUGCUUAACACAUGCAAGUCGAACGGAAAGGCCCUGCUUUUGUGGGGUGCUCGAGUGGCGAACGGGUGAGUAACACGUGAGUAACCUGCCCUUGACUUUGGGAUAACUUCAGGGAACUGGGGCUAAUACCGGAUAGGAGCUCCUGCUGCAUGGUGGGGGUUGGAAAGUUUCGGCGGUUGGGGAUGGACUCGCGGCUUAUCAGCUUGUUGGUGGGGUAGUGGCUUACCAAGGCUUGGACGGGUAGCCGGCCUGAGAGGGUGACCGGCCACAUUGGGACUGAGAUACGGCACAGACUCCUACGGGAGGCAGCAGUGGGGAAUAUUGCACAAUGGGCGGAAGCCUGAUGCAGCAACGCCGCGUGCGGGAUGACGGCCUUCGGGUUGUAAACCGCUUUCGCCUGUGACGAAGCGUGAGUGACGGUAAUGGGUAAAGAAGCACCGGCUAACUACGUG